UACGGAGGGGGCAAGCGUUGUUCGGAAUCAUUGGGCGUAAAGAGUAUGUAGGCGGCUAUUUAAGUCAGACGUGCAAGCCCACGGCUCAACCGUGGAAUUGCGUUUGAAACUAUUUAGCUUGAGUUCAGGAGAGGAAGGCGGAAUUCCCAGUGUAGCGGUGAAAUGCAUUGAUAUUGGGAAGAACACCAGUGGCGAAGGCGGCCUUCUGGUCUGAUACUGACGCUGAGAUACGAAAGCCAGGGGAGCGAACGGG
rnacentral:rRNA from 1 species